rnacentral:lncRNA from 1 species
CAAGUCCCAUCACACAACCUCCUCUUUCUGUUUGUGGCAUCCUUUUCAUUAUACAAUUCUUCUACUUCAGUAACUUUACAUAACCAAAAUUGAUCAUUUGUUUAUGUUUGUAAACUAACAUGCAAAGAACAUGAUCAUUGAUCCAGGCAUGGAGUGAAACAACCAAGAAAUCCAUGGUUUGAUGGUCCAGAAUAUGUGACACAAUGUCCAAUCUUACCGGGGACAAAUUUUACCUAUCAAGUUCAGUUGAGCACAGAAGAAGGAACACUAUGGUGGCAUGCUCAUAGUGAUUGGACUAGAGCAAGCGUUCAUGGUGCCAUUGUCGUCUUGCCUGCUCUUGGAACAACAUUUCCAUUUCCUGAGCCUGAUGAAGAGGAGAUCAUUGUGUUUGGUAAGACGAUAUUCUGGCCUAGUCGAUAUUGCUCUGUAUUACUUAAUUUCAAGCAUAGGUGCAUCCAAUAUAUGCUAAGUUAGUACACUAAUUCCAAUUGCAGGAUCUUGGUAUUUGGGUAAUUUGAAAGAACAGGUUGACGAGUGUUUGGAACCUGCAACUAACUCUAACUUACCCAUAGCAGCAGGUUACACAGUAAAUGGCCGCCUUGGAGAUUUCUCUCCAUGCUCCAAAAGUAAGCAUAUAUAUAUAUGUCUUUAUCAGGUGGUUCACCUGAAUAGUUUGUUACUUCGAGUAAUGUACGUAUUUCCACAUUGCAUAUGCUUGUAGAUACAACUUAUCGUCGUAAGGUGGACUACGGCAAGACAUAUCUUCUACGGAUAGUGAAUGCAAACAUCGAUGUAGAGUUUUACUUUGCCAUUGCUGAACACAACCUCACUGUGGUUGGUUUGGAUGGCUCCUAUGCCAAACCCAUUAACACAGACCUUAUAGUGAUAGCCCCUGGACAAACAAUGGACGUGUUGCUCAACGCAAAUUCGACUCAGGGGAGAUAUUAUUACAUGGUCGGAAGAGAAUACUUAAGUGCUACAGUUGACACAGCAUCUGACGAUGAUGCUAUUGCAAUCCUUGAAUAUAAUGGCAACUAUACCACUUCAGAAGCUCCUUUAUUUCCUGAACAGAUUCCCGAUUCCUUAUCCCAAGCACCAGCACUCAACUUCUACAGAAAAAUUAGAAGCUUAGCUACCCCAGAAUAUCCUGUAAAUGUUCCAAAAGAGAGUGACGUUACUACCAGAAUGUACAUAACAGCUUCGGCCAACGCUCUUUACUGUACUGAAGAUUUAGGUCCUACAUGCUUCAACAUAUCUUUUGCCGCAAGCGUCAAUAAUAUUAGUUGGGCCAAUCCAUCAGAAUCCAUCUUGCAAGCCUACUACAAGUAAGAUACAUGUGCAUUUACUAUGAACUAGAUUCAUGAAAGCUAGCUUGUUAUGGUUAUAUUCCCACCUGAAAAUUGGUUUUGAGUGAUCUUUAUGUACAUGUAGGAACAUAAGCGAGCCGGUUUACGAAACAGAUUUCCCAGACGAGCCACCAGUUUAUUUCAACUUCACCGAAAUAGCCAUGACACUAGAUCCAGUGUUAACAGUCCAAGGGACAAAGGUGAAGGUGCUAGAGUAUAAUGAAACAGUUGAGAUGGUGUUUCAAGGCACUGAAGUGAUGGGAGGUUCUGUAAAUCAUCCAAUGCACUUGCAUGGACAUAGCUUUUAUGUGCUUGGUUUUGGUUAUGGGAAUUACUUCGCCGAGAGGGACUCAAAAACCUUUAAUCUGAUUGAUCCUCCUUAUGUAGCAACAUUCAUCACUCCAAAAAAUGGGUGGUUAGCUAUCAGAUUCGUAGCGAAUAAUCCAGGUAAUAUCCCUCUCUCCAAACUUGCAUAUAAACUAAAGAGCCUAACUAAAUUGUGAGAUUCUAAAAACUGAUGUAUGAUUUCUGUUGCAGGUGUGUGGUUUUGGCAUUGUCAUAUGGAGAGACACUUGACAUGGGGUAUGGAGUCUGCUUUUAUAAUCAAGGACGGGGGUACACCUGAGACUAGCAUGCUCCCUCCUCCGGCUACAAUGCCUUCCUGUGACGUUCCAUUGGAUUCUGCUACUCUCCCAAGUAACUCGGAAUUGAAUAAGAAUCAAAUAGAGUAAUUGAUGAAUUAAUGAUUAUGUCUUCAGUUGUACUGUUUAAUUUGAUAAAACUCGCAUAUUCCAACUUGUACGUAGAACUUGAUCGAACACACAUCAACAGUGAAGUAUUGAUUUUUAGCAUUGAUCAGGAGGAGACAUCUUUUUAAUUGAAAUCACACAGUUUCCUUAGCGAUUUCUAGAUCAAGAGACAGGAGGCGGGUGUUUAGGUUAUAUAUAUAAUUCUACAGGAACAAAACAUGUUAUUCAGAUCGCCGACGAUGAUGAGAUUUGCAACACGCCGCCGAGAACUAUGGGUUUCCAGCUACCAUUUAGAACGAAAGUUUCGUUUCACUAACUAAUAACAGGGAGUGCCACAAACCAACGUAACAUUAAUCUCAGGGCGUCACUCCACAGUUAGAGCCCAGACGUUGUGUAAAGACACACAAUCGUCUAAACGACUGUUAUACAGUUGUUCAGAAUAUUGAUAAUUUUAUAUAAAGAUACACAAUCGUUGUAUAUGCAUCGACUAGGGUUUAGGAUUGGGGUAAGACUAUGGUAUGUUUACAUUUCUCAUACAUCAAUUACUUUAUAUAUAUAAUGAGAGGAUGUGAAGCGGACGUCCGCACUCCGGCUUAAAGUGCGGACAUUGUUCUUUCUCCGCCGUCUCACGCCGGCGACGGCUUCUCUCCUUUCCGGACGACAGCACAGGCUUCCAGGACGGCUUCUCUCCUUCCAGAACUGGCCGGCAACAAGUUUUCCAGCCAACCUUGAUCAAUCAUGGUGUUUUCCGUCCAGAGCUUCAAUCCGGCCGGAAAACUUGUCGCCGGCCAGUCUUGGAAGGAGAGAAACUGUCCUAGAUGCUUGUGUUGUCGUCCAGGAAGGAGAGAAGCGGUCGCCGGCGUGAGACGGCGGAAAACAGAUAACGUUCGCACUUUAAGCCGGAGUGCGGACGUCCGCUUUACAUCCUCUCUGUGUAUAUAUAUAUAUAUAUAUAUAUAUAUAUAUAUAUAUANNNNNNNNNNNNNNNNNNNNNNNNNNNNNNNNNNNNNNNNNNNNNNNNNNGCAAGAGUCAGCUUAUACCUGUCAGUGUGACAUAACGGACAUGCAUCAAGGCCACCAAGGUCAUUCCCUUUUGGAUCUUUACCCUAGAAGAGAACGCAGUCAUAUCUGCAUGCAUGGAUCUUGAUGUAGGAAAGCCCAAGAUCUUUCAGGAUACAUCGGACCUUAUGAUGAGUGGUAGGAAGACGAUGACCGUAGGGUAGCAUCGAAACAGUGUACUGUAGAUAAUCAUCAACAGCCUUCACGGUCAAUUUUGUCUCAACUUUAAUCUUCAUUACGUCCAUCACACUUUCAAGAACGGUCUUCUGACAACCGGGGUACACAGGGGUCUGUUGAAAAGCAAGCAGUUUGUUGUACUUGUCAAUACCAGCAGUGUUGACAGCUCUAGGGAAGAGCUGCACCGGGUCAGACAUAUACUGUCCUUGAGCACAUACACCGCUCUCAUAAGGAAACAUGUCGUUGAUGAAGGCCGUUGUUGGAUUGUUAGAUGUACUGCCCGUCUCAGAAAAUUGGCCAUGAUCAUGCGGACCCCCUGAUGAUGUUUCACCGUGAUAUAACCAACAUAUGUACUUCUCCCAAAACCCGUUACUCUUCAGGUGCUGCCAUACUUUGUCAAUCGCAAAUCGAUGCAUAUCGCUGCGACACUGACAUUUCGUGCACGGGCAAUAGAAAAUUGUAUUCCCGUUAGCAUUAGCCAACGCAUAUUCCAGAAAACUCAUAACUCCUUUACCAUAUCUUUUGUCCCAUUUUGGAAGCGAAAUCCAACUCUUAUCCAUAUCCUGAAAAUAUAACAAAACAUAUAUGUAUAACGCUAGCUAAUUAUUAAUUAAAUUCUAUGCCAUAUAUAAAAUCUCAAUUCAUUUAGUAUAUAUUCUAGGUACUACAACUAAUUGAUAACAAAUUAAUUAACACACACACACACACACACAUAUAUAUAUAUAUAUAUACAGUUCUUAUCUAGAGCGAAGCUUCACUUUGAAAUUAAAGUGUGAAGUUCCUUAUCUGACUCAUUUUUCAGUCAUAUUUCGACAUCUCCACCGUUCUGUUUAUUGAUACUAAUACAUAGAUCAUUCUUGCAAAAUUUCAUUCAAAUUUGAUGAUCAUUUAGAUACCGAAUUAAGUGAAAUCAAUGAACAGACCAUAAACCUGUCUGACUAGAACUGUUUGUGUAAAUCAUGAUUAUAAACACUCAAACGAUCAUCAAAUUCGAUAAAACUUUACAUAAGUGAUCUAUGCAUCUGAUUCUACAAAGUGAACGGUGGAGAUGUCGAAAUAUGACCGAAAAAUGAGUUAAAUAAGGAAUUUCACACUUUAAUUUCAGAACGAAGCUUCGCUCUGGAUAGAAACUGUAUAUAUAUAUAUACUUAUUAAUUACAUAACAAUAUUAUAUAUAUCAACAUCAUCACAAAAUCAUCAUCAACAACUUUAUACCAUCAACACAAUAUUAUAAAUUAAUUAACAUAUAUAUAUAUAUAUAUAUCUACUACUUAUGAACNNNNNNNNNNNNNNNNNNNNNNNNNNNNNNNNNNNNNNNNNNNNNNNNNNUAAAUUUCAUUAAGAGAAUAAAAUAUAUAAUAAAAAUGAAGGUCCAUUAAAUGUUUAUUAAGAGAAUCAUAAAUUUUUUAAAUAAAUAUUUAUUUAUAAAUUAUAUAUAAAUAUAUAUAUAAUAAUAAAUUAUAUAAUUAUAUAUAAUAAUAUUUUCAUUCUUAAUGGGUGGGGAUGGAGACGAAUAUCAAAAUACCAUACCCUCCUCGUACCCGAUUUAAGAAUCCGAAUACUGAGGAUCCUUAUCCCCAUUACCCGUUUAUACCCGUAUAUCUUCCCCGUUAGGGUCGAAUACCCGUGGGUACCUUACCCGCUGGGGAUUAUUGCCAUCCCUAGUUGGGGGAGGAGGAGAUGGAGAUAGAGGACAAAAACGUACCUUACCGUAAACAACUUGCAAACACGUGCUCCAGACAGCUUGAGUACUGCGUACAUUACCUGCAUCAUAACUUCAUAAGCUCUGAAAAUUGAAAGUCCUUGUAUCUGUGUGUCCAUGUAGAGAAAGUAUAGCCACCACUGUUGCAAUAGGAGUGACAAUUAAUGUAGGAAAAGAAAAUGGAGAAUUUUCAUAUACACCCAAUUUUGAAGAGCGGUUUUAAAUAAAACCCACCUAAUAUUCUUAUCUGAUAGACAUCUAAAAUGUACCAAUUAUGAUAAAUAUUAUAUCCUAUUUUUUUCUAAAUUUUACACAAUUGCCACCAUUCAACUAUAACAUAUUAAUAUAAUAAAUAAGCUUAAUUGAUGAUGUCAUAAAUACCUUGAUUAUGGGUUUUUCUUCUAACACUAACAUUUUUCAAUCAAUUUGCAAGAAUUAUGUAGUUAAAGGAAUUCAUUCUCUAAUCUAUACAUAAGGUAAAAUAUAAUAUGAAUAAGAUAUCUGAUCUAAACCCUAUACCCUAAAACCUAAACCCUAUACCCUAUACCUUAAACCCUAUACCCUGAAUAAGAUAUCUGAUCUAAACCCUAUAACCUAAACCCUAAACCUAUACCCUAACUCUAUACCCUAAACCCUAUACCUUAACCCUAUACCCUAAACCCAAUUUUGGGUUUCUUCUUUUUAGGUAUAUUAUCAUAUCAUGUCAUACUUAAUAGGUACAUUAGAAACGUAAGUAGUAAAGAGAUGUUCUCUCGAUUAGGAUGGGAAAUGAUAUAAUAAUAUAUCUAAAAAGAAGAAAAUUAAUCAAAGAACAAAAAUGCGUACCUUACAAUUAGACAUUUUCGACUAUGUAGAGAAACACCAAAUGUGAGCUUAGGAAUGAAAAGUAUCAUCCUAUUACAAAUGACAUACUUUUGUAUAUAGCAUAUAUAUAUAUAUACACUUAAGUUAGUAAUAACAAGGUAAGAAAUUAAAGAAUGUAAUUGAUUAUGACAAAGUUAAAUCCAACUAAAUUUUAGCUAGUAUUUGAGUUUCAAAUUAAUGCUAAAAUUGAGAAACAUACCAAAUUUAGCUUUCUACUGUUUGAAGGGCAAAUUAGAGAAACCGAAAAAUGAAAAAAACUAUUAAUUAUAGACAUUUGCUCUAUAUGGUAUGUUUGCUUAUGUGGAGUGGGUGUAAAAUAAAACAAAAAUAUGUAUGUGUUUAUCUUAAAAGAUGUCUAGUAUUUUGAGUUUUUAUUUAAUUUUCUCAAAGGAAAAUGUAAUCAAUGUAAUCUAGCUUGUACGUUUUUGCAGCACAACAGUACAGUGGAAUAUUAGUUCCCUUCGGUCUGUUUGGUGUUGUAACUUGUAAUUCCAUGGUCUGGUUCCUAAUUAGUAGCUACCACAGUUGCGUAGGCCCAAGCCGAAUGGGAAGGCAGCUUGCCAACAACUACCUGGCCGAGCUUAAUUGCCAACUACCUGAGCGAGUCCGGCCAUGGCAUUUGUGAUUGUAAAGACCAAGAAAUCAAGCUACUACCUAUCUUUUAACAGCAAAUCCAACAAAAAUCUUCUUGCAACCAAAAUCAAUUACAAAAUGUGGAAAAGACAAACGAAAUAUUAGAAGUAUCACCAGACUUUCGCAGUCGUCACGUCACUGAAUGCAGUGUAAAUGGGAACAAAUUUGUUCUAUGCCUUUGUUGGAUGUAAUACCAUUAUUGUUGUAGUGCUUGUAGAAAACUCUUCGAUCGAGCUUGAAUAUGGACAUGAUAAUAAUAUGAGAGUUUUUGGAGAUAUAUCGAGAGCAAAAUAUCAUGAUUCUUUCAUCAAGAUUCAAACUCCAUUUUCUAUUUUGGAAAACUGAAAAUGGCAGGUGCACACACGUUAAUGGUUGGCCCCGUACCGUAGUUUUCGAACUUUUUGGUAAGAAAGGUUGUUAAGAAGAACAUAUAUACCUACAUGAAAUCAACAUACUUGAGGAACGCAUAAAUUUAAGCAGUGUGCGCAAAUCUGUAGCUCCCUAGAUUUCAAAUACUUCACAAACAAAUGCGCGCAGCACAGAUUGAAAUCUUUGAGGAGUACUAGUACGUAGUCCAGUCAUGGCGACACAGUUUCUAGUGUUCGCUGUUCUUAUUGUCAUCCUACUGGUGUUCAGCUCUUUUGCUCAAUGCGAAGUGCAUUACCAUGAUUUUAUAGUAAGUAAAUUUUUUGAUGCUUUAUAAUUUCCCAGUUCGAUCAUCUAUUCCCUUCAAGCAUUCGAGUAUCUAUAUUCUACGUUAUUCAUUCCAGCUAUCUUUGUUUCAUGCAUGGAAUGAUGGAAUCGUAAUAUAACUAAUUUGUUCUGAUCUUUUACUAGUUUAGUUAUGUGCAUCUUGGUAAUUGCAAUUUUUGAUCUAUUAGGUUAAGGAGGUAAACUUCACUAGAUUGUGUGAAACAAAGCUCAUGUUAGUAGUAAACGAGAGUUAUCCAGGUCCAGCAAUACGAGCUCGCAAAGGAGACACUAUUUAUGUUAAUGUCUACAAUAAAGGAUAUUACGGAUUCACCAUUCACUGGCAAGUCCCUUCACACCACCUCCUCCUCUUAUCAGUUUAUAUAUAUAUUGCUUCCUUGUACUUUACAUUAUUAAAUUGAUCAUCUUUUAUCUUUGUAAAUUAACAUGCAAACACUUGGUAUGAUGAUCCAGGCAUGGUGUAAAACAACCAAGAAAUCCAUGGUUUGAUGGCCCAGAAUAUGUGACACAAUGUCCAAUCUUACCUGGUACUAAUUUUACCUAUCAAGUUCAGUUGAGCACAGAAGAAGGAACACUAUGGUGGCAUGCUCAUAGUGAUUGGACUAGAGCAAGCGUUCACGGUGCCAUUGUUGUAUUGCCUGCUCUUGUAACAACAUUUCCAUUUCCGGAGCCUGAUGAAGAGGAGAUC